GGGCCGAUGCCGGCGGCGGGGCGGGGCCCAGGUGGAGCCCCUGGACCGAACCUCGCCACACCCGCCUGACAGUGGAUGCCGCUCUCCCUGGCCCGUCCUGUCUUCUGUCUCUCCCAGCUCUCCGCUGAGCCUCCGCGCUCUCACCCCCUGUCUGUCUGUGAUAUGUAACGACAGCUCAGUGUCUGGACACUCUACCCCUGUGGCAGUUUUCAAGGCACCUGCUGUCCACCUACCCCUGACGGCCAUUGCUAGUUCAUCACAGAGGCUCAGACAACUGUUAGGCAUCAGCAUAGAACAGCCAGGACCAAUACAGCGAUACUGUCAGAGGAGGUGGCUGGUGUGUGACUGGUGAUGCUCCGGAGAAGGUCAAAUACAAGGUAGAUUCUUUACCAUCUGAGCCACCACAGAAGCUCUCAGCUGUGACGUAAAUCCACCAGAUGCAAAGAAGCCAACUAUACCUGCCUUGGCAUCACUUCAUGGAAUUUCUCAUCUUUUGCCAUUUUGUAUAAUGCCAGCCCUGACCUUCAUGGCCCAGUCAACUUCACAGCCCAGAAAUGGACACAUUUGCAACAGUUUGGAAAACAGUGCCCUUGACUGAGAGCCCUCUGAGGACGGGGCCCUCUGUGACUGGCGCCGGGUAUGGCACACAGCAGCGUUCAUUGAAGGUUUGCGGAUUGUAGCAAACAAGGAGAGAGGCGGGGCAGGGCGUGGCGGUGGAGGUGUCUGAGAGUCUGUGAGGUGUUAUCGUAAUGAGAAUUAUAAAACUUGGAUGUCCCUUGUUGCCCAAGCUGCCAGAAAGUUCAAGCAAAAUCAAAAGCUUACCCCAGAGACUAACUUAACUCUCAUAGUUUUUUGCUUUUUAAUUU
ensembl:lncRNA